rnacentral:rRNA from 1 species
CACGUAGGGGGGCGAGCGUUUGUCCGGAUUCAUUGGGCGUAAAGCGCGCGCAGGCGGCUUGGAAAGUCGGGUGUGAAAACUCGGGGCUCAACCCCGGGCGUGCAUCCGAUACUGCCAGGCUUGAGGCAGGUAGGGGAGAUCGGAAUUCCUGGUGUAGCGGUGAAAUGCGCAGAUAUCAGGAGGAACACCGGUGGCGAAGGCGGAUCUCUGGGCCUGUCCUGACGCUGAGGCGCGAAAGCUAGGGGAGCGAACAGG